GGCAAAGUCCGGGCGCUGCCGCCGCCGCGGGCCGACGGGGUGGCGGGGUCCGUACAGACACUGCGGGGCUUCGUAUCCCCGAGUUCAUGUUCCCGAGGCCCCAAGCAGAGGGAGGCAGCAUUUCCUAUAAUCAGCUAUCAAUGAAUUUGCUUGUUUUCCUCCUCUUGAUUCCACCUUAAUUCUCAAGAGGUCAGAGCAUGCUAUGACAUACGAUAGCAGCAUGUUACCUAUGGAUAAAGGAAAUGAAAAAUAUCAACACUUCUGGUUACCUAUGUGAAGAAAUAUGACCUUAAUUUC